UGAACAUAGCCUACAGAGAUUAUUGCUCUUCACAAUUCCUUCUGCUAUUGGAGGAGUGAUUCUCUGCAUUAACAUCUACUGUAUGGUCUGGCUGUGUAGGAAACGAAAACAGGAACAGACAAGUCAUUGUAACAGGCACGGAGAGGAGAGCAAUGCCCAGUCUGAUGGUCACACUGCCCGAAGAGAACAAUGCCAGUGGAGACUCAACUCAGUCUAUGGACAGCAGUAAUCACACAGCAGUUACUUAACAUGCCAAAAAAGAGUCAGGUAUCAUAGACUGGUUAGCUGACAAUGUCACGAAAACAAUGCACACGCUUCAAUGCGGCAGAAAUCUGUGUGUUGUUGUGAUUUUGGAUGACCAGAUAACUAGCAACAUUGACAAGAAUCUGCCAUGUGGGAAUCUUAGGUGGUUCGUUUCAGCUUGUUGUGUCUAGUUAUUGAUACUGUGAUGGAAAAUAUUAUGUUUGUGCUUUUCUAAUAACCAAUUUCUGUUUUCUAUGUUUGUACUUUUCUAAUAACCAAUUUCUG